GACAACCACAUGGGAUCCACGUGACUACAGACAGUGUGUGUAAACAACUCUUCUUCCUGUUCAAACACAAUCACCUCUCCUGCCAACAUCAUGACCACAUCACGGAUUAGAGCCUUGAUUCUCAAGCGGAGAGAUGUUUUAGCUCCACCAUGUGUUUUGAGUAGCCAGGCAACUGAUUGUGUUUCUGCUGAGAUGGAUCCCACAGCCUCUCUAAAGUGAUCUGGUGGGGCUGUAUCAGAGUUGUAUCAGGGCUGUAUCAAGGUUGUAUCAGGGCUGUAUCAGGGUUGUAUAAGGGUUGUAUCAGAGUUGUAUCAGGGCUGUAUCAGGGCUGUAUCAGGGUUGUAUAAGGGUUGUAUCAGAGUUGUAUCAGGGUUGUAUCGGGUGUAUAGGCGCCGGUGUAUCAGGUUGUAUCAGGGCUGUAUCAGGGUUGUAUAAGGGUUGUAUCAGAGUUGUAUCGGGCUGUAUCAAGGUUGUAUCAGGGUUGUUCAAGGUUGUAUAAGGGUUGUAUCAGGGCUGUAUCAGGCUGUAUCAAGGUUGUAUCAGGGCUGUAUCAAGGUUGUAUAAGGGUUGUAUCAGGGCUGUAUCAGGGCUGUAUCAGGGCUGUAUCAAGGUUGUAUCAGGGCUGUAUCAGGGCUGUAUCAAGGUUGUAUAAGGGUUGUAUCAGGGCUGUAUCAGGGCUGUAUCAAGGUUGUAUAAGGGUUGUAUCAGGGUUGUAGCCGUCCAUAUUUGACAUUUGCCGGGCCUAUAUGCAUAUGCACCCAUGAUGCUCAGAAUGACAGAAGUCAUAUUUAAAUUAGGGCAAUAACAAACCAUGCAACUCCUGACAUGAAGAGGACAAUAAAACAUCAUUUUCAAACAUUUGACAAAAUACAAAUUGGCGGACAACUCCGUUCUAAACACCGCACCUGAAAUCAAACAUCUGGCACAUUCAGGAAGAGGCUGAAUCUAAAGAUGCAACGACUAGGAAGGGUUGCCAUGGUAAUAUAUCGGGGAUUGUGUCUUUGUCUUCAGGACAAGGAAAGAGAGUUGUUAUGAAAACCAAUAGAACAGGAUGUGGGUUUCUUUCACCGACAGUGGCGUUGGCAGAAGGCCUCGCUGGUGACUGGGUUGUCGCUGUCAGUGAAAAGCGUCUGAAAUGGGUGCGACGGUAAUGUGUCUUGUGUAUCAUCUUUAAAAUGUUGAGACAAGAAGAAGGGUAGGGGUGUGUGGCGAAGAUGUGUCUCUGUCCUGAAAAUGCCCAUUUGGGGAUUUCUGUUUGUCUCAUCUCACCACAUCCACCACUAAUAAGCUGAGCGUCUGUCUUUUUUUGAUUCACCUCACACAGGAAGUCUGUUUUUAAAACAUAUAUUGCGAUUGAUAGGCCUACUGUGAGGAAGUAUUAGGCUAUUUGGGAAAUCUUUCCAAAAAUCUCCUCCCCCGGUAAUAACCAAGCCUCGUGUGAAAGAGCAAAAUAGCAUCAUAUCAACAUCAUAAAAUACCUUCAGCAAAGACAACUGUCUCUCCCGAGCUCACUGGUGCUGGGAAGUCUGGGAUACUUGAUACUAUGUUGCAACUUCCCUAGAGAUGGCUUCUGGCAGGGUCCAGGGGAUUGAUUUGAUACAAUGCUGCACUUCACUCCUGAUAGGUCAAAUCAAGACAGAUCUACAAAGGCAGACAGGCUGAGGAGACGGGUAAAUUUGUUUACCAGCUUUUUCAUCAUUUGUUGUUGUUGUCAGCCUUAUGUAUUUUGACUUAGUUGACAGCGGAAGUUCUAGGUCAACGGCUGCAUUGGGCCGUCUCCUUCAUUCUCUCAUUCGGACUAUUCAGCCGUCAAUGAUUACGGUGUAUCAGUGUGUCUAUAUGGCAGCGGCUGGUGCUCUCGCAUUAGUUGAAUUUUAACUUUUACAUUUUAAUUCCGUUUAAAAAAAAUAAAAAAUUAUACACACAAAAGCCAACAUUUUAGCGGCUAACGGAAUCCCUGGUCUGUUGUCUUAUUUGCUGGACUCUGGUCAUGUGGAUCCUCUCUGUAGACUUUGGACAGAUGAGGUGACUGUUGACUUUUGCUGCCCAAUAUGUCUGAGCUGUACAACCCUCAGUAGCCAGGUGAAC
ensembl:lncRNA